UACGUAGGGUGCAAGCGUUGUCCGGAAUUAUUGGGCGUAAAGAGCUCGUAGGCGGUUCGUCGCGUCGGCUGUGAAAACCUGAGGCUCAACCUCAGGCCUGCAGUCGAUACGGGCGGACUUGAGUACUGCAGGGGAGACUGGAAUUCCUGGUGUAGCGGUGAAAUGCGCAGAUAUCAGGAGGAACACCGAUGGCGAAGGCAGGUCUCUGGGCCACUACUGACGCUGGAG
rnacentral:rRNA from 1 species